rnacentral:rRNA from 1 species
UACGUAGGGUGUGAGCGUUGUCCGGAAUUAUUGGGCGUAAAGGGCUCGUAGGCGGUCUGUCGCGUCGGGAGUGAAAACUCAGGGCUUAACCCUGAGCCUGCUUCCGAUACGGGCAGACUAGAGGUAUGCAGGGGAGAACGGAAUUCCUGGUGUAGCGGUGGAAUGCGCAGAUAUCAGGAGGAACACCGGUGGCGAAGGCGGUUCUCUGGGCAUUACCUGACGCUGAGGAGCGAAAGUGUGGGGAGCGAACAGG